ACGGAGGGUGCAAGCGUUAAUCGGAAUUACUGGGCGUAAAGCGUUCGUAGCCGGUUUGAUAAGUCUCUGGUGAACUCCCGCAGCUUAACUGUGGGACUUGCUGGAGAUACUAUUAGACUUGAGGUCGGGAGAGGUUAGGGGUACUCCCAGGGUAGGGGUGAAAUCCUAUAAUCCUGGGAGGACCACCUGUGGCGAAGGCGCCUAACUGGAACGAACCUGACGGUGAGUAACGAAAGCCAGGGGCGCGAACCG
rnacentral:rRNA from 1 species